rnacentral:rRNA from 1 species
AUUGAACGCUGGCGGCAUGCCUUACACAUGCCAGUCGAACGGCAGCACGGGAGCAAUCCUGGUGGCGAGUGGCGAACGGGUGAGUAAUACAUCGGAACGUGCCCAAUCGUGGGGGAUAACGCAGCGAAAGCUGUGCUAAUACCGCAUACGAUCUACGGAUGAAAGCAGGGGACCGCAAGGCCUUGCGCGAAUGGAGCGGCCGAUGGCAGAUUAGGUAGUUGGUGGGGUAAAGGCUCACCAAGCCAACGAUCUGUAGCUGGUCUGAGAGGACGACCAGCCACACUGGGACUGAGACACGGCCAGACUCCUACGGGAGGCAGCAGUGGGGAAUUUUGGACAAUGGGCGCAAGCCUGAUCCAGCCAUGCCGCGUGCAGGAUGAAGGCCUUCGGGUUGUAAACUGCUUUUGUACGGAACGAAACGGCCUUUUCUAAUAAAGAGGGCUAAUGACGGUACCGUAAGAAUAAGCACCGGCUAACUACGUG